GAUGAACGCUAGCGGCAGGCUUAACACAUGCAAGUCGAGGGGCAGCGCGGGAUAGCAAUAUCCUGGCGGCGACCGGCGGAAGGGUGCGUAACGCGUGAGCGACAUGCCCGUUGCCCGGGGACAACCGGUGGAAACGCCGACUAAUCCCCGAUGGGAUAUUGUGCCGCAUGGCACGAUAUUGAAAGUUACGGCGGCGACGGAUUGGCUCGCGUCCGAUUAGCUUGUUGGCGGGGUAACGGCCCACCAAGGCUGCGAUCGGUAGGGGUUCUGAGAGGAAGGCCCCCCACAAUGGGACGGAGACACGGCCCAUACUCCUACGGGAGGCAGCAGUGAGGAAUAUUGGUCAAUGGGCGGAAGCCUGAACCAGCCAUGCCGCGUGCGGGAAGGAGGCCCUAUGGGCUGUGAACCGCUUUUGCCUGGGGGCAAUAAGGGCGUCGCGCACGUCCGAUGAGAGUACCAGGCGAAUAAGCAUCGGCUAACUCCGUG
rnacentral:rRNA from 1 species